AGAAAUCCCUUAGCUUACCACAGAGCAGAACCCCCAGAGGACCAGGACUCCCAAUGUCCCCCCAUUCCCCACCCGCCAGGAGAGAGCUUACCUCUCCCUCUUCCCAGCUGAGACCCUUCUGUGUCCCUUUCUGCACCUCUGCCCCGCCGCCCCCUCUAGCUCUCAUGCCUUCAUAUUUCCCCUGCCUUACUCCUCCUUUCCACCCAGCUCAGCCCUGUCCUUCCUAAACCCUCCUUCAGGCUUGGUGUCUUUCAGUAGCCAAAUAAAUUUCAGAGCACGGAGAUGGGAGCCAGCACAGAUGAGGUCCAGGCAUUUUUUAAGGGGUAGAGUGAGAUCAGGAGUCACCCUGUUUCUUCCCUCCCCACCCAGACUCCACACAGCCCUGGGCUGUGAAUCACUGAUUCAAAAGGGCCAUGAAGUUAGGCAAAGGUGCAGAACUGUUAUGGGGCUGGAGGAACAUGCAGGUGGCAUGAGGGCCAUUUGGGUGACAGCAAGAGGAAGCAGCGCUGCUCACUCCUUCUCCAGUCCAGGGCCCCGUGAUGGAUUUCACCUUGGACAUUUGCCUUUGGAACGGUUGCUCCUUGCCAAGAGCACUCCCCCAGAGACAGAUGGAGAAGGAGACAGCUCCGUGGUUCCCGUUCUGGGACUGGCCUUUUGCCUCCUGCCUCCCACAGCUCAGGUGGAGAGAGGAGGGCCCUGCCCUUACCGACUGGAGAGCAUCAGAGUUCCCCUACACAAGCUCUCUUGCCUGCCACCAUGUGAGACGUGACUUUGCUCGUCAUUUGCCUUCCUCCAUGAUUGCGAGGCCUCCCCAGCCAUAUGGAACUGUGAGUCAAUUAAACUACUUUCUUUUAUAAAUUACCCAGUCUCAGGUAUGUCUUUAUUAGCAGUGUGAGAACAGACUAAUACACAUU
rnacentral:lncRNA from 1 species